UACGACCACGAAGGGACCAUUCUCACCGAGGGACUCGUGUAUUCUGCGGAGUUACCAGGCACGCCGUCCAUCCUCCCAGCUACUUUGUCGACUGACGGCUUGGAAUCGUGUCUGCGUGAGGAAGUCUCUUCGAGUCGCUUGUCACGCGUGACGCAGCGCAACUGCGCCGUCGAACUCGUGUGGGACCGCCUGGCGAAGAGCAGCCCUUCGCUGUGGCGCCGAUUGCGGCAAUCAAGCAAAAAAAGUUCAAACUGGAACACCCCCAUCAGCACCUUCUAUACUCUUGCAAGAUGCUCUCCCGUACGGUGCUUCGCUGUGUCAAGUAUGGCUCAACGCCGAAGGACAUCCGCUAUGGCAUGGAGGCCCGCAACGCCCUGCUUGCCGGCGUCGAGAACCUUGUCAAGGCCGUCGGCGUCACGCUGGGCCCCAAGGGCCGCAACGUGAUUCUCGAGAUGCCGUACGCAAGCCCGAAGAUCACCAAGGAUGGAGUCACGGUUGCCAAGAGCAUCGAGUUCGAGGACAGCUUCGAGAACCUUGGGGCGAACUUGGUUCGUCAGGUGGCAGGGCUGACCAACGACAACGCCGGUGACGGCACCACCACCGCUACCGUCCUCUCCGGGGCGAUCUUCAAGGAGGGCUUCCGCAGCGUUGCAAGUGGCACGAACCCGAUGGACCUGAAGCGGGGCAUCGACCUCGCAUGCCGGGAGGUGCUGAUAUCCCUGGCCGAGCAGUCUCGCCCAGUCACCUCCAAAUCUGAGAUCACCCAGGUAGCGAUGAUCUCGGCGAACAUGGACCAAGAGAUCGGCAGCCUGAUCGGUGACGCGAUGCAGCAGGUCGGCAAGGAUGGCGUAAUCACAACGCAGGAGGGUCGCUCGCUUAAUACGGAGCUCGAGCUGGUGGAGGGGAUGUCCUUCGAGCGUGGGUACACGUCGCCGUACUUUGUGACGAACACGAAGGCGCAAAGGUGCGAGCUCGAGAACGCCCUCGUCUACGUGGCGAACCGCAAACUCACGAGCGUGGCGCACAUCUUGCCCGCGCUGAACUACGCCAUUCAGCAGAAGCGUCCGCUUCUGGUGAUUGCGGAGGACGUGGAGGGGGAGGCCAUGCACACGUUUCUGUACAACAAGAUUCAGGGGCGCAUCAGCGGCUGCGCCGUCAAGGCCCCGGGCUUUGGCGACAUGCGCAUCAACCAGCUGCAGGAUAUCGCCGUCUUCACGGGGUCGCAGAUGAUUUCAGAAGACCUAGGUCUUUCACUGGAUCAGAACGAUUUCUCCGAGCGGUUCCUCGGCACUUGUCGAAAGGUGACCGUCUCCCGUGACGAGUGCAUCUUGAUGGAGGGCGGCGGCAGCGCCAUCGCGGUGGAGGAGCGAGUGCAGAUGAUCAAAGACAUGAUCUCCGCCGAGGACCACGAGUACAAUCGCGAGCGUCUGGUCGAGCGUCUCGCGAAGCUCUCGGGUGGGGUUGCGGUGAUCAAGGUCGGUGGCGCAUCGGAGGUCGAGAUCAAUGAGAAGAAGGACCGCAUCAUCGACGCGCUCAACGCCACGCGCGCGGCUGUGUCAGAGGGCAUCCUCGCAGGUGGUGGCACCGGGUUGCUCAUGGCCUCUCUGCGUCUCGAGAGCAUCUCUAAGGACCGACGACUUCCACCUGACAUCCGCACUGGCGUCAACAUUGUGAAGAAGGCAAUCGGUCUGCCCGCGCGCUACAUCGCGAACAACGCAGGCGUCGAGGGCAGCGUGGUGGCGGGGAAGGUACUCGCGCGCAAGGACCCGAGCUUCGGCUACAACGCGCAGACCGGCGAGUAUGUGAAUAUGUUCGAGGCUGGCAUUAUCGAUCCCAUGAAAGUAGUGAAGUCCGCCGUCGUCAACGCAUGCUCCGUGGCGGGCAUGAUGAUUACGACGGAGGCGGCAGUGGUGGAGAAGGACCUGCUAGGGCGAGAGAAGCGCAUCGAGGAUGAGGGGAUGGAGGACAGGGAGAAGAAGCGCAGCGUCGACACACUGCGCAAGCAGGUAAAUGAACGGAAUGCGCCGAUGCCCAAGAUGGCGCCGCCGAUGAAGUUUGAGAUGAAAGGGCUGUAAUCGAGGAGGACGGCAAGCAGUGCGAGUGACGGCGCCGGGAUGUGUUUUGCCGACUGUAGUGACUGAGCUUCCACUCCCCUUGUCGAGCAGCACAUCGUCAGCCGAUGUUGUGCUGGAAGGUUUGCGUGCGCCGUCUCCAUUUCUGCACCCCCUUUUCUUUUCGACCACUCUUGCCUCAACGUUUUGCCAGUGAUGCUGCCAUGGUGGUUGAUUGGUCCGGCGUGUGACCCAUGGGCAUACACCACAUGAACGGUGCUUAUCGAGUUCCUUGCUCUCUCUGUGCGUGCGGCUCGUAUUAUGUGGCGGCUGCCCUGCGCCACAUCGUUUUCUUUUUUUUUUGUCGUUGUUCGCGGCGUGUGUGUGUCUCUCUUUCACACCCCAUUCCUUUCCUCCUUCUCCUCCAUCACCGACUGGAGCGAAAC
rnacentral:misc_RNA from 1 species